rnacentral:rRNA from 1 species
UACGUAGGGUGCAAGCGUUAAUCGGAAUUACUGGGCGUAAAGCGUGCGCAGGCGGCUUUGCAAGCCAGAUGUGAAAUCCCCGGGCUUAACCUGGGAACUGCAUUUGUGACUGCAUGGCUGGAGUGCGGCAGAGGGGGAUGGAAUUCCGCGUGUAGCAGUGAAAUGCGUAGAUAUGCGGAGGAACACCGAUGGCGAAGGCAAUCCCCUGGGCCUGCACUGACGCUCAUGCACGAAAGCGUGGGGAGCAAACAGG